ensembl:lncRNA
GAAAAUAAAAGCACCUGGUACAGGUUUCAUGAGAUCCAUUUGGAUUCGCUAUGUUCCAAACCUGCUGCUGAAUGGCACUUGUCUACUUCAUGUGUUGAACAGUCUGUGGCCUUGGAAUAGGUCUCAAUUUGAAGAACUGUUAUUGGAUGCCCCAGAGGUUGAUGGAAUAGCAGCUCCAGCAAGGCUACUUGUGGAGACUGACUUUCAAAUGUGAGGCAGCAAGUAGGCAUCACAGGUCAACUGCUGGACGUCAAUGUGCUCCUCCUUUCGAAUGUCCUGCUGGGACUGGUUGUGGCCAAAAGGCUUUCUUCCAUAAAGACACUGGUAGAAGAUUACACCCACUGACCAGACAUCCACUUUAUUUGAGAUCUUCGUGGUUCUUUCCCAACCACAAAACACUCUGGUGAUGAUCACCAGCUUUCUCAAUUUCCGGAUGCGCUUGAUUGUGGAUUUCAUCUUCUAAUGCCCACAGUGGCUCUCCUCAUUCCAACAUGGAGAGGACAUCUGGCCCGCUGGCUUGAAACACAAAGCUUCCAGAACCUGAGAAAGAAGAGGCCACUGAUGGGGCACCCUCUGAGUGACAGGGAGCAGCUGUUCUCACCCACUGACACCAGGCCAUUGUAGUUCUCCAGCAUCACAUCCUGGUACAAGUCCUUCUGAGCAGGGCCCAGGAGCUGCCACUCCUCCCAGCUAAAGCCAAAUUUGAAGAACUUGAUCUCUCCUGCUUACAGUGGUUAAAUUUUGGAAAUCUGGAAAUGAAGCUAUUGGAAUUUCAAGAAAGCUCCAUCUGAAAAAAUAAAUUCUAUGAACUGCAUGCAACACUUGAAAAGAGAGAGAAGAUAGAGUGUGAAGGGAUGACAAAGGAUAACACAAUUAAUUUUUGCCUUUAUAGAAGUUUUAUGUACAAGUCAUGCUGCCCUUAGCUGCAAUAUUGUGCUGCCAUCCAAGAUGUCACAGCAUCACAGAAUCAUUGAGACCUCUGCUGUGACCAGUGGUGUGAGUUCUUCCUUUCCCACACACCAACUUCUGGCUCUUCAGGCAAGCCACUGUGAGCUAAUAGGCAGACUCAGACUUUUAAUAUGAAAAGCCAAUUUAUGAAUUUGUAGCUCUCUCAGGGCAGUCUCGAUUACAAUUAAAGCAGUUGGGAUUGCUUUUCUUAUUUUGUUGGGAUCAUCUUAUGCUUGUGAACAUUUCUUUGAAUUAUAUAAAAUAUGAUACAAGAACAGACAGAUGACCUGAGUGCUACAUGUGUUGCUCUCAAAUUAAUGAAGUAUGAGCCAAGGUUUGACAAAUUAUCUGCAUGAAUACAACAGCAGUGAUUACAUUGAUAGUGCAAAAAUACACCAAAU